rnacentral:tRNA from 5 species
GCCCAGGUGGCGGAAUUGGUAGACGCGCAUGGUUCAGGUCCAUGUGCCUUCGGGUGUGGGGGUUCGAGUCCCCCCUUGGGCACCA